UAUCACUAGAAACAGCUGUGCCAGGUACGUAAGGGAAACGAUUCCUGUUUUCAUUUAAAGUCUUAAUAGCUAGCAAUAAGGACCAUCUGCUCCAGCCCUGGCGUGUGGGCCCACGGCCUCCACGGCUCCGUCGUCCCUCCAGCCUAUCUGCCUUUGUUCAGGCUCUGAGCCUCCUUGGACACUCGUCCUCUCCUACCUGCUCCAGAACCAGUCCAAAUGCCACCCCUUCAAGGAGUGCUUCCUGGCAGCUUCCUCUUAACUCCUUUCCAGUAGCACCUUCAUUGCACAAUUGAAAUGCUAAGCAUCCGGCAGCACAGGAAGUCCUCCAGCCCUCAGCGCCUCGUGAGUGGAUGGCCGCUUCCCAUCACGAGGAUGAACACGUGUGCCCUUUGCACCAGCCUGCACCCGUCACACGUGGACACCUGUGCCUUCACCAGGGUGCACAUCGCCACUUGUCAUCUUGUCUGAGAGCAGGAGACUGAAGCCCCCAGAGGCUCUUACCCCGAGUCCCACAGCCAGAGGGGCAGGACCAGGCUCCACCUCCCCCCAGCCCAGCAUCCCUGUCUUGCCUCCCGACGGUAGACACCUUUAGAAUGAAGCAAGAGGCUGACUAUGGUUUUGAUAGCAUAUUUUAUUUUAAUCUAAGAAAAAUGAUUAAAU